rnacentral:lncRNA from 1 species
CCCCGCCCCGUAGGUGGGGCCGGGAGCUUCACCCGUGGCGCCUCGAUGGGGCGCCUCUAGCAGGCGGGUGCAGCCUGUCCCGCGUACCCAGGCGUCCUCGGUACCCACGAAACGGAUCCAAAGAGUCUCAACACUAAUGUAACAUCCCACCCUGACCCAUCUUUGCCCUCUGAGAAAAGCGGCCCGAAAUGAGUUGAGUUAUUCAUCCCCACCGCGGAGUCAGGGACAAGGAGCAGUUGAGUGGCCGAGGAGUGAGAGAGAAUCGAAUCCACUCGGGUCCUCCAAGCUGUUGGUUACCCACUUGGGCUUUCACAGCAAAGCUGCCAAAUCCCAGAAUUGAGGCCUCGGUGAAAAGCGCGCUGAGACUUGGGUAGGAGGCCCGGUGGGACCCGCGAGCUUUCUCUCCCAGCCCGAUGCAGCAGUUCAUUAAGCGGCUGUGUUUCCUCCUAACUGGCGAAGGACUCAGGUGGGCGGAGCAGAGCUCAGCUUGGGAGGAGGCGGACGCGAGUAGCUCGGCAGGGGGACUCGCUUGGCUUUCGUGCCAUCCGUGGACACAGUCGCGCGGGUCUUUGUGGGAAGAAACAAAUCACAAAAGCAAUUAAGAGAGCUCAAACAAUGGGUAAGAAAGAGCACCUCAACAACUG